UGAGAACCCUCUCUGAUUACUCAAUUUAAUUUGUUCCCUAUCUCCAUGUCAUUCUCUAGCCUCAUACCAUGAUAUAUUUUCUUUUGAAUACUUGUCAACAUAUGAAAUCAUUUAUUACAUCAUUUAAUCAUGUUUUCUUUUCAUUCUACAAGAAAGUAAGUUCCAAGAAGUAGAGCCCUUGUCUGUCUUGUUCACCUGUGAACCUGCCGUGAGGAAAACUGGGACAGAGAAGGGAAGUGAUGAGGUUGAUUGUUACUGUGUCUGACUGUCGCUAAGUAAUGGUAUGUUAAUAUGUCAGGGCAGGAGGACGUACAGGGUUACAUGCUAUAAAGGAAAUAUUAAAGUGGCUGAUUUGCCCAAUCUGGAGAAAAAAGGCGUUUCUAGGCACUCUAGAGCUGCCUUUACAUAUCUGAAGGGAUCUUCUUAGAAAGAGAGAGCAGAUUCAUUCUGUUGGGCUCCAUUGUAGAGAACUAGAAUGUCUGGAAGCCAUAUAGACAUGGAGUUCUUUUGAAUUUGAAAAAAUUUCUGAACAAUCUAAGCGGAACAAAAAUGCAGUCAUCUUACUUGGUAACAAGUCUAUAUAUUAGCUAUCAUGACAGUAGGGAAAAUUGGAGUAAAUCCUUUCUUAAUGUCCAAGAAAACACUAACAUCUCUUUAGAUGUUAUUAAAUGUUCUGUAAAAUAAUAAACUGUGGCAAAUUAAGUUUGGGAAAAAUUGAGUUUUAAAAAAGCAGGGGGAAAGGAUCUGUAUUGCAAAAAAAAUAAUAAUAAUAGUAAUAAUGGAUCCUUUAAUAAGUAAUUCCCCAAAUGAAAUUGAGUAUUCAGGGUUUCCCAAAUCUGGUUGACCAGAGAAUCCUUUAGUCAGGAAAUACUAGCUAACUUUUCAUGGGAUACCAGUGUCUUAAAGAUUGAAGGUCUAUGAUUCUCAGCAAGUAAGAAGGAUAUGAAUUUGGAGGUGGGAGUACAGACGCUAACAGUGGUUCUCAACCUCCCUAAUGCCACAACCCUUUAAUACAGUUCCUCAUGUUAUGGUGACCCCCAACCAUAAAAUUAUUUUCGUUGCUACUUCAUAACUGUAAUUUUGCUACUGUUAUGAAUCAUAAUGUAAAUAUCUGAUAUGCAGGAUGUAUUUUCAUUGUUUGCAACCCACAAGUUGAGAACCACUGUGCUAGAAUGUUAUAAAUUGAAUUGUGUCUCCCCCAAUUCAUGUGUUGAAGACUUAACUCCUAGUGUGGCUAUGUUUAGAAAUCAUGGCUUUACUUGGGUAAUUAGGGUUAAAUGAAGUCAUAAAGGUGGGGCCCUUAUCUAAUAGUAUUUAAUCCUUACUAGAAACGAAGAGACACCAGGGGUUCUGCACAUGGAGCAAAGGUCAUGUGAAGACACAGUGAGAAGAUAGUAAUCUACAAGCCAAAGAGAGAGGCCUUAAGACAAACAAGCCCUGCUAACACCCGGAACUCCAUUAUUCUGUACUUGGAUUACUGCCCAGCUGUGGUGCUGUUUUCCCUCCAGCUAAGUAACCCCAGAACUCUUCAUUCAAGCCAUGCUCCAAUUAAUUCUCUCACACGUGUCUAACCCUCUAAUGGGCCACCUUUCUCUUCCCUGUGGCACCCCAAGUCCACUGGGAAAGAAAUGAAGGAUUUAACACUCUCAAACUGUCUUCUUAUUUCAUACCUUUGUUUUUAUUUUUAUGUUUUUCAUUCUGUCCUGCCUUCCCUAGAGUGGAAACACUGUUGUAGUGGUCCUCUCUGACAAGGCCUCCAGUUUUGGCCCCUUGCAGGAAUAUGAGGAGGAAUAAAUAAACUUUCCUUGGCAUAAAAUG